GAUGAACGCUGGCGGCGUGCCUAAUACAUGCAAGUCGAGCGAAUGGAUUAAGAGCUUGCUCUUAUGAAGUUAGCGGCGGACGGGUGAGUAACACGUGGGUAACCUGCCCAUAAGACUGGGAUAACUCCGGGAAACCGGGGCUAACACCGGAUAACAUUUUGAACCGCAUGGUUCGAAAUUGAAAGGCGGCUUCGGCUGUCACUUAUGGAUGGACCCGCGUCGCAUUAGCUAGUUGGUGAGGUAACGGCGCACCAAGGCAACGAUGCGUAGCCGACCUGAGAGGGUGAUCGGCCACACUGGGACUGGGACCCGGCCCAGACUCCGACGGGAGGCAGCAGUAGGGAAUCUUCCGCAAUGGACGAAAGUCUGACGGAGCAACGCCGCGUGAGUGAUGAAGGCUUUCGGGUCGUAAAACUCUGUUGUUAGGGAGGAACAAGUGCUAGUUGAAUAAGCUGGCACCUUGACGGUACCUAACCAGAAAGCCACGGCUAACUACGUGCCAGCCGCCGCCGUAA
rnacentral:rRNA from 1 species